GUAAUAGAGGUCGCAACCAAUAAGAGUACCUUUUCGGAGACUUCCCAAGUCGAUGAUGAAAAGCAAAAGGAGCGGUUGCCGAAGUGUCAGUCCCCGGGACGGGCUGGUGCUGGGACGUAGUUGAACAAACUACGGACUGUCGCAGCAAUGCGGAGCGCUAUU
rnacentral:ncRNA from 1 species